rnacentral:rRNA from 1 species
UACGUAGGUGGCAAGCGUUGUCCGGAUUUACUGGGCGUAAAGAGCGCGCAGGCGGUCGUUCAAGUCGCGUGUGAAAGCCCCCGGCUCAACUCCGGAAUUGCCUUUAAGACUGCAUCGCUAGAAUUGUGGAGAGGUAAGUGGAAUUCCGAGUGUAGAGGUGAAAUUCGUAGAUAUUGGGAAGAACACCGGUGGCGAAGGCGGCUCACUGGCCAGUUUCUGACGCUGCAGCGCGAAAGCGUGGGGAUCAAACAGG